rnacentral:rRNA from 1 species
GGAUUGCAGGCUGCAACCCGCCUGCAUGAAGUCGGAAUCGCUAGUAAUCGCGAGUCAGCAUAUCGCGGUGAAUACGUUCCCGGGUCUUGUACACACCGCCCGUCACACCAUGGGAGUUGGCAACACCCGAAGUCGAUGAGCUAACCGUAAGGAGGCAGUCGCCUAAGGUGGGGUUGAUAACUGGGGUGAAGUCGUAACAAGGUACC